AUUUUUAUAGAACUUCUGUUGUGCUUAAAUUCUAUAUAUAAUUCUGUACUGAGUUGUUGAGAAUGUCUUAUAAAAAAUAAAAUAACAAUAUAUGUCAAUAUAUGUGUAUUCUCUGAAUUAUAUUUUGUAGCGAUUAUAAUAUACUAAUUGAACUUUCAUAAUUAUUGAAAUGUGAAAUAAAAACUGGCUACCACAGCAAAUACAACAGUAGAGGAAAAGACGUACAAUCUAUUUUAGUCCCAUUUAAUAAAAAAGAGUGAAACGACUUUUUAAACACUUUUUUUUGUUAUAAUCGAUGUUAUUUACAAGCUUUGUAUGUAUUUUUUUAUGUUGCAAUGUCUCUUAUUACUUUAUCUGGUUAGUUAUUCAUAUUAAAAUAAUAAAACUUUUUAUCAUACGUUUAAUAUAUGUAUUAUUCGGAUUAGAUAUAGAUGAGAAUAAAAUGAUUUACUAUUAUAU
rnacentral:lncRNA from 1 species